GAUUGUGGUGGGUAUAUGGUGGUGGUAUAUGGUAGCAAGGAUAAUGGUGGCGUGGUGGGGGUAUAUGGCAGCAGCGAUGAUGCUAGCGUGGAGGUGGUAUAUGGCACCAACGCUGAUGGUAGCGUGGAGGUGAUAUAUGGCACCGAUGAAAGACGGUGCGGCGGCGGCGUGACAACCUGUCAACAUAACCUGAAACUCUAAAGGACUAGAUACUAAGACCAGCAGCUCAACACGACGAUGUAACCGCAAAUUCAACUAAGCAAACUACUGAAAAGACUAUACAAAGGCUCAGAUUGGUUCGGAUAUGAUGAUCUAACCCUAAUUGUUUUUAUGGAUUUUUCGUGGACGAUAGGUAUAAAUAACAGAUGCGAUCUAACUACGAUAAACUGGUAAAAUCUCACCGAGCAACCUGGAAAUCUGAUACCACUUGAUAGAGGCGAAGUUGUCCCUGUCUUUCGAGGAAAUCGUGGGAAUCGUUUUGGUGGAGUAGCCUUUGACGAUCCGACUACAAACGUGCGAGGACGUCGCGCCUUAGCAAUCUCUAAACCAACUCCGAGAGGUUAUUGACCACGCCAGAGCACGAUCAACCUGACCACGAAGGUCUGUUUUCUGCACGCAAACAAAGAACAAGCAAGAAACCAAGAUGCAAUCAACAUAUUGCGAGUAGAAGAGGAAAGAUUUAUUGAUGAAGGUGGGGUUCUGUGACGCCUUUGUCUGGUCGUAGAACACAAACGAAGAACACGAAGUUGCAGCUAUGGCGAACUUGUAAUCUAAACAAAACCCAAGUCUAAACGAUGCCCUAAGGGUUGUAUAUAUGAGGGAAUAGAGAGGCAAUUUCGUGACCCUUGGAGGAGGGGUCCGAAAACAGCCCUAAACUCGGUUUCCCCACACGUUCGUACUGUAAAAAUAGCCUAUAUUAUGGUAUUUUGAAAUUACAUGGGCCUGGCCCAAAAAUAAGGUGGCGCAACACCUAUAAUAGCCUAUGGACGAAAUUUAUAAGGCGACGUCUUGAAUAUUUUGCCCAAAGCCUUCAUGCUUCCUUAUGGUGGCUUUAAAGAGCGAAAAUCACGAGUGGAAGCUCCAUUGUUCUCUCCCGCGCGUGCACCUUCUUCUCCAUGCUUGAUCCCGCUCCAACGGAUAUCUUUCUUAUCCAUGCUAGGUCCUUCAUUCAUGAGAACAACAAAAGUAUCUAACUUAGGCAGCAUCAUAUGUUCAUGAACAUUAGAAGUAUUCCCAAGAAAUGAAAGUACCUGGUAAUUCAAUUGGCGUGCACGAGCUCUAGUAACUGGUCCAGUAUGUAUAGCAGCUGGGGCUGUGGGUGUAACAACGGUGUUGAUGUCCUCAUCAUCUAGCGUCACCGAACCUUAACUGUGUAGACCCUGCGGGACCGAGACAUCUCUCCGGCCAAUAACCAACAAUAGUGUCUGGAUAUCCAUGUUCGCUCCCACAUGUUCUACGAUGAUCUCAUUGGAUGAACCACAAUGUCGAGGAUUCUCUCAAUCCCGUAUACAAUUCCCUUUGUGUGCCGGUAUGACACUUGCCCGAGAUUCGAUCAUCGUAUCCCUAUACCUUGUUCAAUCUUGUUAUCGGCAAGUCUCUUUUCUCGUUCCCUAACAAAUCAUCCCGUGGCUAACUCCUUAGUCACACUGAGCUCAUUAUGAUGAUGCAUUACCGAGUGGGCCUAGAGAUACCUCUCCGUCACACGGAGCGACAAAUCCCAGUCUCGAUUCGUACCAACCCAACAGACACUUUCGAAGAUACCUAUAGUGCACCUUUAUAAUCGCCCAGUUACAUUGUGAUAUUUGGUACACCCAAAGCAGUCUUACGGCAUCCAGGAGUUGCACAAUCUCAUGGUCUAAAGAAAUGAUACUCGACAUUAGAAAAGCUUUAGCCGACGAACUACACGAUAUUAUGCUAUGCUUAGGAUUGGGUCUUGUCCAUCACAACAUUCUCCUAAUGAUGUGACCCCGUUACCAAUGACAUCUAAUGUCCAUGAUCAAGAAAUCAUGAACAUCUAUUGAUCAACGAGCUAGCCAACUAGAGGCCCACGAGGGACAUGUUGUGGUCUAUAUAUUCACACAUGUAUUACGGUUUCCAUUUAAUAAAAUUAUAGCAUGAACUAUAGACAAUUAUAACGAACAAGGAAAUAUAAUAAUAACCAAUUUAUUAUUGCCUCUAGGGCAUAUUUCCAACAUGUGGUGGGGCUGUACACACCCCAGAGCCUCCCGGUGUGCCACCCCUUAGCAUCAGCAGAACUCCUGCCCACACCCAAGUGGAAGCCCCGUGCUACAUGCCGAUGGAAUGGUUGAAUCGCAACCAUGCCCAUGCCCAAGUGGAAGCCCCAUGCCCCCACACUAGUAGAACGAUCAAACUAUGAUCAUACCCACACCCAAGUGGAAGCCCCAUGCUCCCUUCUGGUGGAAAGUCAACUGAGAGCGCCCCACAGGCCGCGUUGACCUGAGGAUGAAUCGUGCGUGACACGACAGCUGUUGGCUUUCUUCCACGGCACUUGCUCGCCAGUUUCCGCUUGAGCCUCAUGCGAGCGGGGGCUGGAUACAGUUUGUGUGAUCAGGUUAGUCCCAACAGCGCUAAAAACCCCUAGGUACUAGGCUCUGGCUCACGGGCAUGCUCACGCGCACGUCACGCCACCAAGGCCCUUGGUGUCUGGUCUCCUUACAUGACACCCAAGUGCAAGCCGUCGAGAGCGCGUUGUAUGAAAUGAAGUUUUUGCGUGCAUGAUAUUUCCUCGGACUGGAUCACUCGAGGAGUCUCACAAGGCGUGUCCGGCAAGUGGCAAACUAUUGGCAUUGCAAAGGACUAAGUAUGAGAACACCCCCCCCCCCCGAGGGAAGCCUCGCCAUUGCUAAUGUUUUACCUCAUGCGGACCACUUGCGUGUCAAGGGGAGACUCAUGGGCAUCGCGCUUCAGGAGCCUUCACUAGCUCCCGGAGCCCAUCACCUCCAGCUUUGUCCAUGCACCGCGACUUGACAUACCAGCGACAGCUGUCGAUCACUUGGGGGCUGGGUCCCGGCAACAAAGAGAACUCGAGCAAGAAAGGGAGAAGGGGAGAACUACGCGAGGGGAACUCAGAAGUGGGCGCAUGGUUCAAAAUGCAAAGGCAUUGCUUGCAAAGGGCAACAAUUUUUCACACACCCCUCUCAGAGCUUACAUUGAUCCAUCGCAGGAUGGAAGAUGCCAUAAUAAAACACCCAAGAUGUGGUCCUAUCCUUAUUUUAGCUCGAGGACCUUGAUGGGGAUAGAAGCGCAUCUCGUCGUUUUGCAAGAAUGAAUAUCGUUACUAGUACAUGUACAAAAGAGAUGAUUAUAUGGAAUUGGCUUAGACUCGCCACAAUCUACAAUAUGAACAUCUCAAUACAGCAAUUGAACAUCAUGUAGAAGAGGAGGGUCCGACUACGGACGAAAACAAAUAAUAAAACAACGAUGUCUAUCAUUGCUAUCCCAGGCUACUGGCUUGGGACCCAUCCUAGAUAGAUGAAGAAAAGAAGAAGAAGAAACUCCAAAUAGAACAAUAAUCGCGCUCACGUCAAGUAUCGCUCUACCUGUACCUGAAACUCUUGUUGUAGUAAUCUAUGAGCCACAGGGACUCAACAAUCUCAUUUCCAAAGGUAUCAAGAUUAGAAAAGCUUAAUGGGUGAGGUAUGGUUAAGUGUUGAGGCUGCAACAAGCAACUAAGCAUUUAUUGAAGGUGGCUAAAUUAUGAGUACAAUAAUAAGAGGAGGAUGAUCUACACAUAAUAGAGGUGAACUAAACAUGAUCACAAAGUGAUCCAGAACACCUCCUUAUGUCAAACAUAACCCCGCGUGUCCAUUCUCGGAUACAGAGCUCAUGAGAAGAGACAAUCACGGUUACGCACACAAUUGGCAAGUUUUAAUUAAAUUUGUACUUCAGGUUUCUAUGACCGGGUGUUAAACCAAGUUUCCAUGUGGCCACAUAACCACGGGCAUGACUUUUCAAAAGAUUUAACCCAACACGGGUGCUCCAACUAGUCCAUCACAAACUACCACAAGCUGCGUGGAAUAAAUUCAACCACAGAAAACUCAUAGUCUCCUCAAAAUUCUGAUGAAAAACCUCAACCUCGAGAUAGCUCAAACUAUUCUCGGGAUUACUCGCACAAUACAUUCAAGAAAGGUAAAACAAAUCCAGCAAGACCGCCCGACGUGCCGACGAUCUCAAUAGGAGCCACAUAUCUCGUUCUCAGGGCACAAUCAGACGAGCUAGGCGUAUGGUGGCCUGAUAGAAAUCUCGUGAGUUGCCCCGAGUUGGCCCCACACGGUGCUCUGUUUAGGACCAGUACCAUCAGCACUGGCCCUCCCUCUAUUAUUUGAAUUACUCCUCGGGUUUAUGGCACCCUAUGUUUUAAUAACGGUGUUCAAUAUUAUUAUGUUGGGUAAAUAUAGUACCAAUGUUGGGCCUUGCCAGAAGAGUUUUAUCCCAAAAAGAAAGUCAAGGGGGUCCCCAUGACAACCCCAAGCAUGUUAGGAGUGUUCAAAUAUGGAAUAUAACACCGAUACACAAGUAGCUAGGCCGAUAAAGAUGGAACAAAACACCAUGCUAGAAGGCCAAGACUUCCACCUUUUACCAAGUGUAUAGAUGCAUUAAAUUAAUUAGCAAUAAUGUGGUGACAUUCAGAAUAAUAUCCAUGUUGUCACGUGGAAGCAACUCACUUGCAAUUAGCAACGCUAUAAGAAGGGCUAAGCAAGCGGUAACAUAGCCAAAUAGGGUUUGCUGGGUUGUGGAAGAGUCAGAGGCUUUUCAUGGCAAUGUUGGGAGGUUUGACAUAACAGGUGGUAGGCAAUGAGACAUAGCGAUAGAAAUAAAACAACUAGCAUGACAAUGAUAGUACUGGUAUCUAGGGAAAUAAUCAUCUAUCAUGUAUUCCCGCUUGGAAGAAGAACGGAUCCGUGAAACAGACGAACGAGCGCAGUCGAACAAAUCCGCGCAUUCCAAAGCUGUUUGGAACUCUACCGAGAAGAAACAAUCAGGAAAUAACAAUCAACACACAAUAAACACCACAACAUAUUCAUGACAUGAUGCAUAAACACAUAUGAUGCAUGUCCGAUUUAAAUAUGUGGGGCAUGAUAAUCUCAACAAUCAAAUACAACACAUUAACAGAAGCUCAAUAUGCAAAACGCCACAUUCAAAUCAUUUAGUUCACUCCCGUUUAGAUACACGACAAGUUUAAAUGUUGUUAAACAUGGUAAAAGGUGAAGCAUAAUUAAACUACACUAUCUAGGCAUUUUAAAUGAGGUCGGAAAAAACAUAUAGCAUUUCCGAAGCGACCCCAUAUGCGAAUUUCAUAAUUGGUCCAUAUCUGCCUAAAACAUGUUUUAUAUUUCUUAAAUAGCAAAAUAAAGUGGACAAUGUGCUUUUACAUGUCAUUAUAGUCGAUUUACAUAUAUAAAACAUCUAAGACGAAGCUACGCUCUAAAAGAUAAGACCAACACAAAAUAAUAUGAUCUGGAUGUAGAAUGUAUGCAAACAACAAAACUAACAUGUUAAAGCAUGGAUGCAACAAGAUAUUAUGGAACUACAUGAAAUUCUAGGCAAGUUAAAAUGAGGCCGUAAAAGCGAAUAACAAUUCUGAAAAGUUCUCAUAUGCAAAUUAAGAUUUUGGUACUUUUCUACCUAUAACACAAUUUUAGAGUCGUUAAACAAAAAAAAAUAAAUGUCACCAUGUUAUUCUACACAUUUUUCUAGUCAAGUUACAUAUGUGGAUCAUUUUAAUCGGAGCUAAGGUUAACUAAUUAUGAGACAAACCGUUAUUCACAUGGCAUUAUGCAAAUUAAAUGAAAACAACAAGUUAAAAAAAUUAAUCAUGGUUGAAAGUUACACAAAAUGCUAAGCAUUUUUCAUGUAUAUAAAGGUUUUUAAUUCGAUGCACGGUUAUUUAGUUGAGAGCAACGCAAAUUAAAGUCAUUUUUGUGGAAUCAUGAAGUACAUUGGACAAAUGACAAAUUCACAGCGAGUAAAAAAUGAUUUUGCCGGAUUGCAGCUUAGUGCAACAACCCACGUGUGGAAUCGGCCCAAGUGGCCAUGUGCUCGAUUGAAAAAAAGCCAGACGCAGAAAAACCAUUGAUCCCUCCUUGGAUUCGACCCCAAGAACUCAUGGAUCGGAUGUAGUUGGUUCUACUCUGCGCUACUGCGUGUGCUUGUGCAAAAAUGAGGGCGCUGCUUAUAUUAAACUAACACAACGGUCAAGACUUUCUCACCAUGAAUUCGUGACUAACAUAGCCAUGACGGAAGGCAACAACAACAGUUGCUGUUGACAGAGGGCUGGCGAGGGCAGUUGGGGAUGGACAGAUCCGAAGCUCCCCGGUAUGGAUCCGACCAAGCAUCAAGGCGACGCGUCGAGCUGGAGGUGCAGGAGGCCAUCAAUGGCUGUGGGGUAAACGCAGCCCGGCGGAGUGGCGAAGGUGUAUGGUGGUGCGAAGAGGAGGCGGCACGGGGUGGGUGAGCGGGAACCAAGCCGGAUCUGGUCGGUGGCGCGUUGAAGGACGCCCGGGCCGUCGCGGGUGGAGCUCCCCUUGGGCAUCCAUAGCGCCUGCAGGAUAGAAGAGAGAGAAGGGGAGGUUAGCGAGAGAGGGAGAAGAAGGGGAGGAAGGAAGAGAGGAGGAGGAGGAUGAUGAGGUCCUUCCCUGGCAGUGGUCUCCAUAGAGGUCGCGCUGAUGGGGUUCGAUGGCUCUACUCGCCGACGCUAGUGCUAGAGGGCGAGGCAUGGCUUGCUCGGAGCAGAGCGCGGCCGCUUGCGUGGCUGCGGGAGCUUCGAUCCUGUGGUCGCACGGACGAAGCAAGCUGCGGGCGGCUGGACGCGUCCAUGCGCAGCAGGGGCUGGCUGCGUGAUGCGGUUGGCUGGGAUGUAUCCCGAGGAAGAUGCGGCUAGCGGCGGCGGGAUGGGAUAAAGGGGAGGAUUUCUAGGGUUGUCCAAAAUAGGUCUAGGUUUUGAAAAUAAAUAUCAGGGUUUCUGCGAUCUAAAUCGGAAGGUCGAGGUUAAAUAUGUAAGAGGGCAAUUGAAAAACCGAUCAUGGUUUGGCGUAUUACGGAGUAGAUCCGGACCCAACGAUUAUGACAGUAUGUUUCGUGUUUUGGGGUGUUUUCGGGCUUGAUUGCGCAUAGGGUAUGUGCAUUGUGUAGAUGGUCUAUGCAUAGAAGAAAGAGAAAAUGGGCAGCUCGAUAUCAGAUUUUUGAACACCGAAAAUGUCUCACCUUUCGUCGGCUAUAGUAUCACUAUAGGUUUAACGAUUGGGAUAUCAAAUGGACUCCGAAUGCGAAAAAAUUUGGCACACGGUCUACCUACAAUCUAUUGAGACCGCACGCCAACUUUCAACCCAUUCCGAGAAUGUUUUAUACACACU
rnacentral:lncRNA from 1 species